UGAUGCUACAUUCUUCUCUAGAAUAUUCAUCAAGUUUGCCAGUCUUAUCUUCAGCACCUCUAUAGAAAAAAACCUAGUUUUUUUGUUAAGCUGGAAGUUGAAAUCACAUCAAUUUUAUGGUUUCAUCUGAUUAUAUUAUGGUUCAGUGCAAAAUUUCCUAGUUUAGUUAUAUUUCAGCACAAGCAUAUCUAACUCCAUGUCUUCAUUAUUUACUCACAGAUGCUCGGAGAGAAGCUCGUAAAGCUUUCUUGGCCUUUUCUUCUGAUGAUUCAAAAGCACAGCUUGCAGAAUCUGAGCCUGUCAAGGGCAACAUUGAAAGUUCUACGGAACGGCCUGCUAAUGAUGAUGUUCUGUCAUACAAAAGCACACCUGUUUAUUUGCUCAGUUGCUGGUUCCGCCACUGCUUAUAUAUAUGGAUAAUGCUUUAUCCACAUAGAAAAGCCACUGAUGGUGUCCAUUUUCCAGCUGGGAUGGCUAGGCUCAGGGGCUACGGAUUUUGGGCCCAGUUACCAGCCCAUUACAGCUAUUAUGAAUGGUGGGCAGCGCACGCGCACCCAAGCUCAUACUCAUCUCAUGACAUUACCGAGCUCUCCCACCUUUGCCGCCUGACACAUCUACUUUUUAUGGGGCUGGAGUGAUGGGCUCCAAUAUGGAUCAAGAAGCUUGGAGUGACACCAACUGUUUUGAGCUCACUAAACAAAUGAACAAUGGACUAUACUCAACUGUUAGUGGGCCGUAUAUGGAUUUGUGCUCCAAUGAGUUUGUGUAGCACAGCCCACUAUUUGGAAGGAUGCCACUGUUUCUAGGCUCGGGUAGCGAUCCAUUUGAUUUGGGCUCUUCAUCUCCCUACUACUAUUAAAUAAAUCCCCCUAUUCUGAUUUUUCAAACCGUCUGUUCAACAUUGAGGUAUGUUUUCCUUGUUUUGUUGUUUGUUUUCACUUGGGGGGCGAAUAUAGGCAGAUGCUGAAUAGUGUAUUGUAUUGUUUUUGUUAAGCUUAUGCAAGGUUUUAACCUUUUUGGAUUAUAGAUGAGCAGUGGUCGGAUUGCUAGAGUCUGUAAAGCAAUCCUGUAAUAUCUUGCUGAGUCACUUAUAACUAGAUUCUCUUUCUCAAUUAAUGAUCUUUAAGAAACU